ACGCAAUGACGCGAACAGGCCCGACAGGGCCGGAGCGAGGGAUUCUGGGGUAGUGGGGAUGAUGGUGCGCCCCCAUCAGAACACAAGAACAGUAAUCAAUAAUAUUAGUAAAAAUAAUAAUAGUAAUAAUAAUAUCAUUAUUUUUAUUAUAACAACAAUAAUCAUUAUAAUAAUAAUAGUAAUACAAAAUAAUAACAACAACAACAACUAUACUUGUAAUAGUAGUAGUAGUAGUAGUAGUAGUAUUGAUGUUCAAUUCAAUUCAAGUUUAUUUAUAUAGCGCCAAAUCACGACAAGAGUCAUCUCAAGGCACUUCACAGGUCAAUUCAUUAAGCCAAUUAGAAAAAAUUUCCUAUAUAAAGAACCCAGCAGGUUGGAUCGAGUCACUGACGAGUGUCAGAGUCUUUACAGCAAUCCUCAUUGAACCUUUGCAUGUGACGUCACGCCACUCAUGUGACCGCCGCCUUCGCCAUGAUGGACGGCAAAAAGACCGUUUACACCCGUAGAAACUCCAGUGAAGCUAGUCAAAACAAGCCAGUUUGUAGCCUUUUAUGGCUUUUAUUGAGUUGAUUUGACAGUAAAAUGCUUUUAGCUUGCUGCGUGGUCGGCUGCACUAACAGACGAGGACGUAAACUCAACUCGUUUUUUUCUUCUUAAUAACUUUGAUGGAGACUGAGGACGGAGAUGAACUGCAGAGAUCAAUCAAGCGGACUAGCAGGCCUCAGAUUAGCAGCGAGCGUGUUUUUAGCGGGUAAGAUUAACGUUCAUUUAUUUCAGGAGGAAGACAGGGACAGGAAUAAAUGUGGUGUGUUUAUACUAGUUACUGAUAAUCCUGAUGGACGGGUAUUUCACCAUUGAGGCUGCGCUCCGUCCACUGUAGUGUAAAGCGAGAUAAUUAUUAUUAACAAUAUUAAAGCUCCGAUGUAUGAUUACAUGUGUUAAAAUUACAUUAUUUAUUUAUAUGAGCGUCGGCGUUCAGAGAGCUUCUCAUUCCGGUGUGAGAGCAGCAGCUGAACCCGGUAACACCACCAGCAGCAGAAGCUGGUAGGGAUCCGGACUUUUUAACAAUCAGCUUUGGUGUAAAGUGAAACGCUGUUUAUAACAAAGUUAUAAACCCAGAGGGGUGAAUUUAGGCAAAGUCAGCAACAUGUUUACAUCGGUGAACAGCUGCAGAGAGAACGUAAGCUAACGUUGGUAAGCUAGUUAGCAUACCGCUCUCUAUGAGCCCCGCUAGAUGCGCGACUUCCUCUGAUAACUGAACUGGGCAUGAACUAGUGGAAGGAAUGCUGGAGGAGUUUUGUUUUUGUUUUGAUCGCAAAAACAAUUUCAGGCUCUACUUUUCCCUUUGUUUAUAUCGUGUCGCUCGCUGUUUACAUGCUUUUGCCGUCCACCAUGGUGGACCCACGUAGUUAGGUGACGUCGGUGCAAAGGGUCAAUACUAAGCACGCAUGCAGCGACAGUGGAGAGGAAAACUCCCUUUUAACAGGAAGAAACCUCCAGAGAAUCCUGGCUCAGUAUAAGCAGCCAUCCUCCACGACUCACUGGGGAUGGAGAAGACACACACACACACACACACACACACACACACACACACACACACACACACACACACACACACACACACACACAUUACUUUCUACGUUUUAACCUCACAUGUGACACGUUUUAGAAAGUCUCGUCCUUUUUCUAACCCAUCAGUCGCAGAUGACACCUUCAGUGAUGCUCUGUCAUCUCAGAGGCUUGCUGCAGGUUUCCUAGUGACUUCAAUACUCACACAAAGCUUAGAGUCAGGUAAUGGGAUAUUUGUUUAGCAUAAAGACAUCACUUUGAACAGUGCGACAACUUCCAAAGGAACAUUUUAUCUUUAAUAGUGUGAAUUCAUGUCUCCACGCAUGUUCUCUCUGCCAAACGUCCAACAUGGCUGUGGAUGUCGAGGUGAUACCUGAGAUUUUAAGUCUCAUAAAGCAGGUAAUGAGCACAGUUGCCUCCUGAGCCCCGUUAGCUUAGCCGUGAGCUUAGCUUCUGUUGUUGUAAUUCCGGCUCCUAAUUAACACGUCACACUGUCGCAGGCGCUUUCGUCAUGCCCGCCUCCAAAAGGUUCCUGAGCGCUGUGCAAACGCAAUCUGAAAAGGUUCCUACGGGACCUACGCAGUCGAAAAGUGCCUUUUGAUACCCGUGUGUGACUAGAUCAGGAAGUGAUCCUUGUGUUUAUUAAAUGUUGUUGACAAAUUUAGACAAAUCAGAAUUUGACAAGUUUAAAGGGCGUUACCAAAGACCUCAGAGAUUCACUCCCUCACUCAGAUGCUUAGAGGUUAACUCUUAGUGUGGAGUGAAGGUGUUAAACAUUAAUAAUAAUAAUAUUAUGAUAUUAUUGUGUUCAUAUUAAUAGAUUAAAUUACUAGAAUCAACACUACUGAUCUGGUGUAAUUUAAGAUCUGAAAUGAAUCAUUACAGGAGAAAUAUUCAUUAUAACCCAUCAUUCAUUAAUGUACCGUACAGGACACUGUCGUGAGCCGGUGUGAGAACUCCUCUCAAUAUUCCACCUUUGAGUUGUGUGUUGCAGGAGGGGGAGGUUCUCAGCUGCACCUGGUUUGCAAUCAGCGGGUUCUGCUAUUUAAGGAGGAUGGAGAACACGCCUCGACGCCGGAUGAUUACUACAGCUUGGUUUUUGGAACGUCCCUGGAUUCAGCGACGCCUCAGGAUUACUCUCUCGUGCCCAUGGGAUUUCUGGACACAGCUCUGAACCAUUCUCCAUUCCUCGAGUCCUGACCGACCCGUUCUCCUGCUCACCUCACGCUACCUCUCCUGGACCCCCACACUUGGAUACAUCCCGGCUCUCAACCUGCCCUCCCUCAUUCCCGAGCUUCCCCUCAUCUCCUGUCCUACACUUCUCCAGGGGCCUGGAGACGAGAAACUACAGAGCUGAUCCCUGAUCAAACUAUUCCUGAAAGGCCACGCUGAGGCGGUUUCACCACGAGAAAGAGAAACUGAUUAAAAAAAACAACACCCAAAGAAACAGAUCCCAGGUCAGAUCGCUGACUACACCAAAAGGGAGGCUGGGAUAGAAGAGGAGAGUGUCAGGGAGAAGAUGCUACGAUAGUGAGACAAGGAUGAAUGAAUAAGUUAAGACUUCUGUUCAUGCAUUUACAGAGAAACAUAAACACAAAGUGUGGAGGUGUGAAGCUUCUUUUAGCAAGUAUAACUAUGAGUUCACUCAGGGGGGCUUUUUUACAGAAAUGCUGCCACUUCUGGCCUUGAAGCAUCCAGAAGGAGAAUCAGGUCUACAGCUAUCAACAAGCACCUGCGGUCCGGUACCUGUCUGCCGCCCCCUGCUGGACGACCUACUGAUGGUUGGGAUCUGAACAGAACAGCAUGCUUCGUCAUAUUAACGGGAGUAGAAGAGGGACGACGAGGACGACACACAGUGGACAUGCUGCAGCAGGGACAGGUGAGACAUUACCUAGGUUGUUGCUGAAGCUUCAAUAAGCUGUGAACAAUAUAAACAACCAAGCCAAGGGUGAUAAGCUUUAAAAUGGGAUAGAAGUGUUUGUUAUGUUUUAUUAGGAACAUGAAUUCAGUAGAUGGCCUUGCCCUGCGUAAACAUGCCUCGGUCGUCUAAACGAUGACCAGCUAACUAACAGUUAAAACAACUAAUCUUCUUUCUCGUUUGUGAAGUGGAAAACUUUUACUUAACAUGUCUGGCCUUACCUCUAUAUCGAUCUCUGGCUGUGUGAAGACAGGACGCCCAGCUGUGGGCCUGAGCAGUCCCGACUCCGAGCUCUCCGGUUCUCCUGCUGAUGUAAAACACACACAUCAGCUCAGAAACUCGCAGCCGUCUGAACAGCAGUGGUGUUUUUAAACCAUGAAGCACGUGACAAUAACACACCUGCACAGCGUGUCAACAGUAAACCACAUAGCGAACCAGGUUCGUGGUCAUUUACACCAAAUUAAUAAUCAGAUUCCCACGUAGUGGGAGACCGAAAGCCGAAGAACAGUCUCCGUCUUUUCAUUUAAAUCUUGGAAGUGGGUACGAAACUAAACUCUACCCAUCUGUUGUGUCUUCUGUUUACUGCACAUAAAGAAGUGAAGCAAUAGCAGGCAUGCAUGCUGUACCUUCUUCUUCAUCCUGACCCUCAGAAGCUAAAUCAUCAUUCAAACUGAAAGAAAAGAAACAAAUCUGGAUCACAACACAGGCAAAAACACCGGCUGGUGAACAGUUUGAAAACAUUUGUUCAUGCAACGUGUAAAAAUGAGAGUCACAAACCAAAGAGUUCAAACCACUUCUUACUUCUUAUUUAAAGAUGUGAAAAAACAUUCAAUCCCUUACAGAAGUCUCCUGUUUUUGCAUUAAUCACACUUAAUGUUUCAGAUCAACAAACAAAUGUCUGACAAAGGAAAUGGUUUAAUGGUUCCUUCCCGGAACGGCGCUGCUCUGGGUGGCUGCAUGUUGGAGUAGCUCUGUCGACUAGAUAUCUGGAAUCUGAAGCUGCUCACCACCCGAACCGUGAUGAAACAUUCCGCUGUUGUUCCAGUAAGAAUCAGCUCGUCGUGAUGGACCAUUUAAAGCUGGAGAAGUCUGACCUGAGACAACCCCGGACCUCGGCCUGAACUUUACCCUCGAGGAAAAGUAUUUUGGUGGGACAGAGAGGGUGUGUGACGGAUAUGCUGUCAACAUGGCUGCUCCUGCAGCUCCUAAAGUAACCGCUCAGAUCUUUGAAUGUAGGGUUCUACAGGAAGCUUAUACACAAAUAAUAUCAUACCUGUGGAAGCUAUUUCUUUAGAAGGCCUGAAUUUAGAGGCACAGAUUCAUUGUGAUUGGAUUGAUGGGCUAACAGCUAGUAAGAGCAAGACUAUAUUGGGGCGACGGUGGCACAGGAGUUAGGUGCUCGCCCCGUAAUCGGAAGGUUGCUGGCUCGAGUCCCGCUCAGUCUGUCGCUGUCGUUGUGUCCUUGGGCAAGACACUUAACCCACGUUGCCUGCUGGUGGUGGUCGGAGGGACCGGUGGCGCCAGUGCUCGGCAGCCUCGCCUCUGUCAGUGCGCCCCAGGGCAGCUGUGGCUACAUCGUAGCUCAUCCCCACCAGUGUGUGAAUGUGGGGUGAAUGACUGAUUGUGUUGUAAAGCGCCUUG